UACGUAGGGUGCGAGCGUUGUCCGGAAUUAUUGGGCGUAAAGAGCUCGUAGGCGGUUUGUCGCGUCGACUGUGAAAACCUACAGCUUAACUGUGGGCUUGCAGUCGAUACGGGCAGACUUGAGUUCGGUAGGGGACCAUGGAAUUCCUGGUGUAGCGGUGAAAUGCGCAGAUAUCAGGAGGAACACCGAUGGCGAAGGCAGUGGUCUGGGCCGAUACUGACGCUGAGGAGCGAAAGCGUGGGGAGCGAACAGG
rnacentral:rRNA from 1 species